GGUGUUCAGGAGGAGAGGGCCGGUUCCUCUCCAGAAAGCUGGGUGCUAUGACAGAUGAGACUUUUAUGCAAGAAAACAAAUCCUACACCUUUGAUGUACUGCUUGAAACUUAAAGAUCUCUUUGGACAUGAAAUUGUAAGACAAAAUGACAGCCCAGGAAGUAGAAGCAGAUGCUAUUUGGAGAACUCAGGCAACUGACAUCUGAGGAGUCUGCCAACACUAGGUAAGGAAAAUGGACAUGAAUGUGAUCUCCAGAGGGAUGAGAGUCUUGGCUGAUGAAUCCUGACACAGGUAUCCAGUCCAGAUAUUGGGAUAUAUAUGGGGAUGGGGUAAUUGAAGAGGGGUUGGUCUCAGGAACAAAGAGAAAUUGAUAUUUGAGACUCAAAAUGAGCUGGUGUGUUUCUACAGAUUUGAACAUGGCCUCUAUUACUUUUAUUGUUGCUGAGACAAAAUACCUGACACCCAAAGUUAAAGGAGGAAAGGUUUGUUUGGCUCACAGUUUGUAGAGGUUUCAGUCCACAGUCAACUGGCUUCAAGGAAGGUGGCAUGGCAGAGGGCAUCACAGAGUAGAAAUAGUCCAUGGCAAGCAGGUAGGUGAGAGCACAUUAGCCCUCCUUCUGUCCCUUAUAUUUUAUGGAGGCUACCUCCCCCAGGGUGAGUAUAGUACUCAUACCCUUAAUCCUGGCCAGAAUUGUGCCAAACCAGUCAGUGGACUGAAUUAGUAAUCACACACCCUUGAUUCCAGCACCACACACUCUACAUCCAGCCACCUCUAACCCCCUCCCCGACACUGCAUGAGGCUUUGGGAGGAUAUCUAAACAUAAGCCAUAAUGGCUUCUUAAAUCCUUUCUAACUCACAAGAUUGUCUGAGGCUGAAUCUGCACAUAUAUGCCAUUUGAGCUAUUCCAGAACAGAGAGUUGGGAGGUUGUGAGUAAAAAAAAGCUAAGUCCUGAGAAUUUAUAUUUCAGGGCAAGAAAUUAAUUUUAUCCUGUUCCAAUAUCAUCUCUAAAUUAAUGACUGUCAUGUAUGCAAUAUGGCUACAGGAAGCUCCUCAAAUGCACAGCCAUGUGUGGCUUCUGAAAAAUAAAAAGAAUCAUUUUUUCUUAGAGGAUAUGAUUACAUUAGGCUAUCAAAUAAAUUACCUUUUCUCAGAAAUAAGGAGUGUUAGUUUUUUUUCUGAUAGCACUGAUGAAACAAAACUUAGAAAUAAAAGUGCCUCUCCCUUCUGUCAUGCCUUGCUUAUGUGAUUACAAAUACCAUUUUAAUUAGAAAACUUUAUUGAGUACACUGUGGGGAAUGCAUGCCUGAAAAAGACAAGUUUCCUUCCCCUUGGAACUUAUCUUAAUAGAGGAUAAAUGAUUCCACCGAUAUAUUCAUAUUGCACAUACAAAGAAACAUGUUUUUUAAUUGAAAAUGAAUUCUAAAUUAGCAUUUCACAUCCCCCCCCCCGCCAAGAUGAACAAGGUAAAAUUCCACUGGAGAGAAUUUUCUUUAAUAAAGAUCCUAAAAUGUGACUCCAGAUAGUCAUUAUUAGUUAGACUUUCUUACUCACAAGACAAGAUAAAUAACAGCCCUGAAUAUCUGGAAACAUAGAUCUUGACUACUUUCAUGCCCUUGUCUGGCAAUGAAUCGGCAGCUCUUGGAAGGAUAAGGCAAGAGAGUAAUUUGGCAAGCUGUUUAAGGUAGCUGCUACUGAGAGGAAUGGGGCGUCCCUUUAAAAUAAAACGAACACAAAAUUCCAAGCUUUUUUUAGAAUACAAAAAUUGCAUAUGUUGAACUUUUUUUUUCUUUUGCAGUACUAGGAAUCCAACCACAGAGUUACAGCCCAAGUCUGCACAUUAAAUGUUAAGGGGAUUUUUUUAUGUUAUACCAGUACCAGGAAACAUUUUUAAAUUACUGGCUGAAAAAAAAUUUUAAGUCUUCAAAAGAACUUCAGUACUAGAUAUAUUUAUAGCUCCUUUGAAAUUCUUUUGUGUUUGUUGUUUUUUAAGAUAGGGUCUCCCUAUGUACUUCUGGCCAGUCUUGAACUCACUGUUCAGCCCAGGCUGGCUUCAAACUCAACAUAAUUCUUCUGCCUCACCUCCUGAAUGCUGGGAUGACAGACAUGCACCACCACACCCAGCUUGAAAUUCCUUACAUGAUAAUAUUGAUACAUGAAUG
rnacentral:lncRNA from 1 species